rnacentral:rRNA from 1 species
GAUGAACGCUGGCGGCGUGCCUAAUACAUGCAAGUCGAGCGAACAGACGAGGAGCUUGCUCCUCUGACGUUAGCGGCGGACGGGUGAGUAACACGUGGAUAACCUACCUAUAAGACUGGGAUAACUUCGUGAAACCGGUGCUAAUACCGGAUAAUAUAUUCAACCGCAUGGUUCAAUAGUGAAAGACGGUUUUGCUGUCACUUAUAGAUGGAUCCGCGCCGCAUUAGCUAGUUGGUAAGGUAACGGCUUACCAAGGCAACGAUGCGUAGCCGACCUGAGAGGGGGAUCGGCCACACUGGAACUGAGACACGGUCCAGACGCCUACGGGAGGCAGCAGUAGGGAAUCUUCCGCAAUGGGCGGAAGCCUGACGGAGGAACGCCGCGUGAGUGAUGAAGGUCUUCGGAUCGUAAAACUCUGUUAUUGGGGAAGAACAAAUGUGUAAGGAACGAUGCACGUCUUGACGGUACCUAAUCAGAAAGCCACGGCUAACUACGUG